GAUGAACGCUAGCGGGAGGCUUAAUACAUGCAAGUCGAGGGGUAACAGGGGCUUCGGCCCGCUGACGACCGGCGCACGGGUGAGUAACGCGUACGCAACUUACCUCCAAGCGAGGGAUAGCCCUGGGAAACUGGGAUUAAUACCUCAUGUGAUUAUGAUGCCGCAUGGUGUUAUAAUUAAAGUUCAGGCGCUUGGAGAUGGGCGUGCGUCCUAUUAGCUAGUUGGUGAGGUAACGGCUCACCAAGGCGACGAUAGGUAGGGGGCGUGAGAGCGUGGCCCCCCACACGGGUACUGAGACACGGACCCGACUCCUACGGGAGGCAGCAGUAAGGAAUAUUGGACAAUGGGCGCAAGCCUGAUCCAGCCAUCCCGCGUGCAGGAUGACAGCCCUACGGGUU
rnacentral:rRNA from 1 species